rnacentral:tRNA from 2 species
GGAGAGGUGGCGGAGUCCGGUCGAUCGCACAGCAUUCGAAAUGCUGCGUAGUGGCAACACUACCGUGGGUUCGAAUCCCACCCUCUCCGCCA